CGGUAAUACCAGCUCUCCGAGUGGUGGGGAUGUUUAUUGGGCCUAAAGCAUUCGUAGCCUGCUUGGCAAGUCCUCCGUUAAAUCCAACGAUUCAAUCGUUGGGCUGCGGGGGGUACUGUCCGGCUAGGGGGCGGGAGAGGCCGACGGUAUCCUCGGGGUAGGGGUGAAAUCCUAUAAUCCCGGGAGGACCACCAGUGGCGAAGGCUGUCGGCUAGAACGCG
rnacentral:rRNA from 1 species